UCCCCCUCCAAGACUAUGGACAGCACAUAUGAACUUAACAUUUUUAUUUGCUAUCAUCAAUUGAAGAAGAGAACUUGCUUACGCACUGUACUUGCAAAUGGUUCAUUUUUGCCUCCUUCGUCUGGAGUUAAAACUGGCCCUUAAUUCAGUUGACUAUCAUUUUAUUUUUAUCCCUGUUGCGGCCAAUCCCCUCGUCGUCUG
rnacentral:lncRNA from 1 species